GCACCAGAUUGAUGAUGGGGGGGGGAUCACAAACCAGAAGUGCACUUCUGCCGGAACUUCUGGUUUCAUGGCUAGCACUUCCAGGGCGUGCAUGGCUGAUCUCAAGGGGUGCAUAUGCACCUGCAUGUGACCCCUAUACAUUGUCAAUGCAAACCACCUUUUUUGCAAAGCAGAACAUACAUGCUAUCUUACCUAGGUAUUACCAUCCCCUGGAAGCCAAGAAAGUCCCAACUGCUUUGGUCCCUUGCUAAAGGGUUUGUCUGUCUUUGACCCAGCUCCUGACACUUGGCUCAUCCCCUCAGCACCUGUCUGUUCUUUAGAGCCUGUGUUUUUAAUCAGCGAUCACCCAAUGUUUUUCCCUCAGUUUCCUGCCUAGUUUCCAUACUCCAGCCCCAAUAGAUUACAAGUCAGAUAACUGAAAAUAAGAUAGCUCAAAACAACUUCAGAGAAUGAUACCUGAGUUGUUCCUCAAGUGUAAGUGAAUGGGGUACCUGAAGCUACUGUUCACUUUCCUCCAUAUACGCAAGUAGCAGUAGCCCCUUACUGUAAUCAUGUGGCAAACAACGCAAUAACACUCAAACCAACAGGUAAAAUAUAUAAUAUUCUUGAAAUGUUGGAGAUCUGUCCCCACUUAUUUCAUGCAAGUCAAAUGGGUAUGAUUUGAAAGGCCUUCUCCAAUGAUCAAGUACCAUCAACAUUUAAUAUAGUGACUGAUUUCCUUCAUUAGCCAAAUUGCGCUAAUACCUAAGGAAAUCUAGUUCCUUAACUGAGAGCACAAUCUGUCUUCACACCUAUGAUUAUGAGAAAUACAGAGACAAAUAAUCCUUUUUGAACUGGGGUUGUACAAAAAUAGUUGGUUGCAUGAAGGCUUAUAUGUGUUCACAGUGAAAUUAUUUUUGCAUGAUGAGAAUCCAAGUUUUAUACCACUGUCAUUUCUACUGAGAUGUAUCUGCCAUACAGUGGUAGGUCAUGCAGUCUAAGGCUAAAAGCUAGUCAGUCCUUAUGCAAAAAUUGCAAAUCAAAUAAUCCAAGGCAAGUGAACAAAGCCAUUCAUUGUUUUUUACACCACCUUUGAACUUGAUCUUAUAAUGAAAAUAAACAACAGCAAAAUGUAUGGUGAUAGUAAUCUUAAGGUUUCCAGGACAUGUGAAUUUAAUUUCACUGUGUUCUUUUCUGAUAAAUGGGAUGCCCACAUUCACUCCUUAAACUUACACCAGUCUGUGUAAUUAUCUAAAAAUCAGUCUAAACUACAGCAGCCAGUUCAUUUCCAGCUGUAACUCUGAAGUAAUUGCACUGUCUUCAUUGACAGUCUGAAGUACUUAUUAUUGGGUGCUUUGACUCAUUCACACCAAUUGGAAUAAAUAAAAUACUGAAGCAGUUGUAAAUUUUAAAACCUAUGUCACAGCAAUUUCACCUGCUUACACAAUUCCCUGAUCAAAAACUCCAUUAAAAUACAAUUAAUGUUGUAAAGAUGUAUCAAUUAUUUUUUGCUACAUACCUAAUUAAAAGGUUGCAGUUUAAGCUGUACCUGUUGCUGACAUAGGCCUUUAAAUGUAAUUAAUGCUCUAAAAGAUACCUGAGGGGAAGUGUGUCUGUGUGGGGAAAAAGCCUUGUAAACUUUUAGGGCACCUGAGGAGGAAAUGUUUCUGCCUAGAGCAGUAGUUUUCAACCUGUGGUCAGCAGACCCCCAUGGGGUCUGCAGACUAUGUCUAAAGAGUCUGCAAAAGAUGACUAUCUAUGAUCAAUCAAAAGUAUGUGAAUACCCACACUUACAAUUCAGAGUCUGCACCUCCAUUUGAAAUUUCUAAAGAGGUCUGUACCUCCACUCAAAAGUGUUUAAGGGUCCACAAAUAAAAAAGGUUGAAAACUACUGGCCUAGAGGAGCAAACAGGAGACGAAGCUAGCCGUUUUAGUUUAAAGUCAGGAUAGAUUUGCAUCUUAUAGGCUAACCAAUGCUGGUCCUUUCACAGCUUCUGUUGAAGUAAGCUUCAGCCCAUGAAAACUUGUACUGUAUAUACACUCACCUAUGCACCCAUACACACACACACAUAUAUGCAUAUACAUACAUAUAUGUAGAUAUAUUGGUACAUCUACUUUGGUUAGUGUAUGAUGGUGGUGCUCAACCUUUUGGGCCCACAGGCCAAAUGAGCAGCACAGGGCCCAGGUGCAGGCUCAUCAGACCCCAUGCUCCAGGAUCAGCCCUUCACACCCAGAUUUGUGCUGCACCACCCCCUGCCAGACUCCGCAUUCCAGGAUUCAGCCCCAGGACUCAGCCCCCUCCACCUGGCUUUACACACCAGGUUUGGACUCCCAGGACUCCAUGCUACCUCUACCAAGCUCCAAGAUCCAGGAUUGGACCCCAUGCCAUCUAUAUCUAUGCCUGGCCCUGCAUGUUGAAAUCAAGCUCCAGGGGCCCUGCACCGCUCUUGGCUGGGAUCAGGGCCCCAGGACACCAUGCUACCUCUGUCAGCCUCUGUGCACUGGGAUGAGCACUUCCUCCACCUUGCUCCACACAUGGGAAUUGGGACCCUGGGGCCCUGUGAUGCUUCUAUCCAGCCCCCAAUGUGGGGAUUGGAGUGUGGAGGCUCUGUGCCACCUCCGCCCAACCCCAUAUGCCCUCAGGCACAGACCCUCGGGGAGCCCCACAGACUCUCAGGGAGCCCUUGUCAGUUGACAAGGUGCCAGAGGCCAAAUCUGGCCUGUGGGUCAGGGGAUGGGCACCCCCUGGUCUAUAAGGUUAAAAUCAACCCUGACUUCUAGACAAACAAACUCUAGGUGAUAGACUUAUGCAGGAAAGGAGGUGAAUAAUAGGGCUGUGUGAAGUUUUGCUGGCUGUUUUGUUUCAAUGCUGUUUUGACUCGUUUCAAGCUCAAAGCAGUGAAAUCAAAACAAAACAAAGGGCUUCAAAACAGCCACAAAACUAAGCGAGGCCAGUCAGGCCGAAUUUUAAAGCAGCCAGCCAGGUGGUGGGAGACAGGGGAGAGCCAGGGCUGAGCCAGUGGCUCUCCCUGCCUCCCGCCGCCAGGCUGCACUCCAUGGGGCUGGCAGAGCCAAUCAGAGGGGCUGUGAGGGGCUGGGACUUCAGCCCAGCUGGAGGAGGCACUUCCCCCAGCUGGGCUGAGUUGCCCAGCGCUGGGUCCCAGGUGGCAGAAGCAGUGACCUGUGAUCUGGCAGGAAGAUCAAGGUCCCACCCGCACUCCCGGGAGGGCUGCAGGGACUCUGCCAAACUCCUUCUAGGGGCGCAGGCCCCCAUCUGCCUGCUGGGUCACAGGACGUUGCUCCUGCUCCCCAGCUCCUGCUUGUUAGCAGCCUGUGGUACAGUUUCCUAGAAACCCCUGCACCACUCUCCUUGAAACUUGGCAGGCUUCAUGCCCUCAGACGGAGCUACCACCCUUGCAAGUUUCAUUGAAAUGAGGCAAGAAGUGACAAAGUUAUAGGCUGUUUCAUGCUUCCCCAUUAUACCCCAUGGGUGAAACAUUGAAACGGCGUCAAAACAGUGAAACCGUUUCAACAAAACGGAGCGAAACAGUGCUUUCAAAAUAAAAAAUAAAAAAAACUCAAAAUGAAACACUUCCAUCAAACAUUGAAACAGAAGUUAAAGCAGAAUGCUGCUGUUUCGCACAGCCCUAGUGGAUAACUUUUUCUCCUCAUUUGACACAGUAGCUGUAAAAGUAGAUCCACCCUCAUCAAAGAAAGUUACUAUGUAACUGUGUUCUCCUUUGAUCAAGGCUUCUGAGGUGAUUUGCCAGCAGUUUCUGAUUCUUUCUGAGAAAUGUGUCUCACAUGAAAUCUGCAUUCUCUUGCUGUCACUUGCCUGUUUUAAUUCUCUGUCUUUGCAGCUGCAUUCCUAUUCAGUUGUCGUCUUUCACUAGGCCUUCUUUCUUCAAUCCAAAAGGAACGAUACCGCAUAUGGUUAACCUGUUAUCCCUUUUGAUCUGAACAAUAAGCCAAAAAGUGGGGUUCUAUAAGCCAUUCUGGUUAAGAUGACAAAUGGAAUCAGGCAUUUUGAUUCACUCCUCUAUGUUUACAAAUUGUAUACAAUAAAGUCCCUAAACAGUUAGAAAUAGUGUGUUUGUGACCAUUCCAUGCCCCUUUCAGUCAAUAUUCUCUCCAAGCAUUCUCUUAGCUUUUUCUCAGCAUCACACCACACAGACUUCUCUGACUGGGUCUGUGGGUUGCUCUUUCUGGCUAGGGACAGACAUUCAAAAAGCCUAAGCCUGAAUUGAUUCAAUCUUUGCAGGUUAGUCUAACCUGCAAAGUUUGAACAAAUUUGAAUGUAGAUAGACAUUCCCUUUUCAUUCAAAAAAUGCAGGCACAUGCCUGUAGUAGCUCAGGCUAGAAACCAAGGGGCAGUACAGCAGCCCGCCCUCCCCUUCCACAGUGCUGAGCUGGGGGGGGGAGCAUGGCCCAGUCCUGGCAGGAGCUCUGAUUAGGGAGGGGUCCCCACCCCCCCGUGCUGGUCAGUGAAGGAGCCAGCAGGGAUUUACACAGCACUGAGUUACACAGCAGGAAGUCACACAGGGAGCAUUUAUCAGCCCAUCAGCAAAACAAAAAGUUCUCUCAUUAGUUCAAGUUCUUAAACAACUGUUUCCAAGGAGGGAAUGGAGGGACAUUACCAGCUGCCUGUUGAUUAGCUCCAAGAGCCCUAAGCAAACACAGUCCUGUCUCCCUUUGUCCCAUCUGCCACAGCACAGAGCAUUGCCAGCAUGCGGUAUGCUAGCUAAUGCUGAGAGGUGUCUGUAUAAGGCAGAGGGGACGGGGGAAUCCCUGCUUGAGUAGGGAUGGUAAGGGAGGGGGCAUAUUCAGGCUGCCUGCUGUGGCCACAGGGCUCUCCGGCCUGCUGCCCUCCCUCCAGGAACUCCGCGCUGUCUGUACAGCCAUGCCAAGGUGCCCCCUACCCAAUAGCAGCAGGGGCAGUAGCGACAUGAAGUUGUUCCCCCUGCUGCUGCUGGGUGGGCAGGGGGUGCAUGUCUGGUGCAGGGCUCCCAGGGGAAGAGCAGCAGGACAGGGAGCCACAAGUGGACAGCCCACAUCCACCCCCAUUCCACUCGGCUCUGCUCUGGCUGUGCCGCUGGAGGGGGAAAGGAGGGGGAAGAGGUGGGCAUAUGCCCCACCUUUCAGAACAUUCAUGGAUAACCUUCAAGAGGAGGUUGGAUAUGCAUCUAGCUGGGGUCAUCUAGACCCAGCACUCUUUUCUGCCUAUGCAGGGGGUCGGACUCAAUGAUCUAUUGAGGUCCCUUCUGACCCUAACAUCUAUGAAUCUAUGAAUCUAUGAAAAAGGUGGUCACCCUAGGCUCAGCUCCCGUUUGGCAUGAGGGCAGCCAUGGACCACACUGCCCGGGUUAGCUCUACUGCAUGAGUGCCCUGCCCUCUUCUUUCUCCUCUUACCCCCAGCCAGUUCCCAAGACCUAAUGCCCAGGCAGCCCCCCACACCCAUGCACAUACGUCACCCACGUAUACAUCUCACAUUCCCCCACACCCCCAUGGGGCAGAGGUGUGCAGGGAGCAGAUAGCAGCUCUGCCCUAGGCCCCAGCUCUGCACCUCCUUGUCCGCAGGACCAGGGCUGUGCCCCAGGCCCAGCCCUGGCCCUUUGCUGUCCCUGCCUCGCAACCCCAGCCCAUGAUCCUGACCUCACCUGCCCAUCCCACUCCCAAACACUGCUCUCCACCCACCCAUGGCCCCAUCCCAUAUAGGGAGUUUUGGUGAGUUGUUGUGCAAAUGGAGGCAGGGUUCUGACCUGGCCUGCAACAAGUCAUCAAAACUACCUAUGUGGCCCCCGGACCCAAUAACUGAUAUCACCCCUUGUCAAUAGUGCCUGGACUGCAAUUAAAAGUUUGCAGUUUAAGCUGUACCUGUUGCUGACACAGCUGUACCAGAGUGCCACAGGUGACACCUACCCCUGUUUAGGCCCAAGACCUAGGUCACCUUUGGCAAAUCUGCUCAAAUGGAGCAUGUCACAAGUUGUCUUAGAGGGGACAGGGAUGCUGGUGGGCCAUACCUCAUGGUUCUGAAUACAUGUGGUCCACUAGGACCCAAGCUUUUUCAUUUUAUGGACACACCAGCCAACCUCUCUCUUUUCAUGUGGAUGUUAGAGCAAGAAGGUUCUAGCAUCCUAGAUAAGACUUUAGGAGAUUACAACAAAUGUUAUUAGGCUGAACCAACUUUUGAUACAAAGUAGGUUAUCAUACAUCUGAGUUUUCCUGAACAUGUCCUCUUUUUGGGUCAUCUCAUCUGCAUCUGGGCAGUUUUUUAAAAUAUCAACAAAUGUCCUGGAUUUUGCUCUGCCUCUGCUCAGCACUGAGGUUUUUCCCUGCACUUCCCAGCUUGCCCCAGCAAGGAGCUGCUUGCAAGCCCCAGCAGCUGCAGGCAGUAAGAGUCAAAAAGCAUCAGCUUCCUUCUCCUCUUACAGUUUUCUAGGAUUUUGUUCUAAUUUGCUAAAUAUAAUUUAAAAAUAAACUCAUCCAAUGCCCCUUUCCCUUUUGCAUUCAGCUUGUUCAGGGGCUUUCCUAUAGAUCCUGAGCAGCAAUUAACUGAAAGAGAGAGUACAUGUUAACUUGUUUUCGUGCUCUCCUACAUUAUUUGCUAUGCUGCUUGGUAUUGCCAUGCUUUGUUUUGUUUAAGUAUCCUUGGCAGCCAAGAAGAUUGAAUUAAAUAGUCUUGUACAUGCUGCCACCUGCUGUGAUCAAACAGAACACACUAGAAGAUUUCCAUUGCUUUCAAUGGGCUUUUGGAUCAGGUUCUAAAUCAGAACAGAGAGCCCCUCCCUCCCUCUGAUCCAGGUAUGUGCCAGGAGAAAUUCAAGUGCUGAACCUGGACAGUGGGCAAGAGGGACCCACAAUCUGCCCCAGUCAGCAGCAGUUAUGUUUUUAUGCCCUGACCUAAACCAGGCAAAGGCUCUCUCAGGCUGUGUAAGGAAGCAAAACUGGUUGACAUUCCUGGGCUGGCAUUCGUGUAGUUAACUAAGGCCACCCCCACAGUGAAGACUUGGGGCAGGAAUCUUCUCCUCUACCCACUGGGAGUCUAGGUGGCUUUAGGCACCUAAGAAGGGCUAUUGAUUUCCUCCCACUCCCAUGUUCCACUUCUGAAAAUAGCCCUGUAACAUGCAUCACCUUCCCCUCAGACUUCAGCCACAAGAGCAGCAGGGAGGAGGGAGCCCCAGCCCCUCCCCAUGCAGCAACACCAUCUUCUCAGCACUGAAACACAUUUCACCAUUUAUACAAAUGCAUGCGCCACAGUGCCGAAAAGUGCCCAGCAGUGUAGCACAAGCAUGUGUACAAAUGCCCAGGGAGCAGAGCAGGGCAGGGCACAGCAUUGCCAGGGCUUAAAUAUGAAAUUAUCGUAUUGGAAGCUCAAAAUUAUUGUAUUUGCUGAUAACUAUCGUACACUGAAAAAUAUGCAAAUAAGUAUGCAAACGAGUCUUAUUUACUUUCUAUUGCUUACUGUAACACGCCAGUGAGUGAGAACUGGGUCAAACAUCGAAGCAUUUAUUUUGAUAAAAGCAGUCAUAAGGAAGUGCUGACUUGAGUUGGCUGAUAGCAUAUCAAGUAUUCCCAGUGAGGGUGUAGAAGUACAGGGAGGAAUGAGGGAUUCAACCCAAUUGCCCCAGGGAAAUUUGCCAAAAAGAAACAGAGACCACUGACCACUCCUAUGGCACUGUCCAUAUGCCAAGGGUGUGAGGAAAAAGGUAAGCCGGCUCCUUGAAAGAGUGACAAGAGUCAGGCUGAUUGCAAGGGAGGUGGUGCUGUAUGGACACCUGACUGAGCAGCAGGGGUCCCAGACAACACGUUUUGACCAGUUUGUGUCCUGUGUCAGGAGUGCCCUUUGGCAAUGCAGGAACCUCCUGUUAUACAGGCAUGCCAAGCUCAAGGAAACAGACUGUGUUAAAAUGUUUCUGAGUGAACUUCAGUCCUACCACUGGAAAUCAGUGAGCGAAGAUGGAGAAGAAGGAGCCAACUUUAUCUGAAAAAGCAAUGCCUGGCACAGGUUAUUCAAAGACCCCCCCUGGGAGGGGAAGUGGACAGAGAACGAAGAGGACAGAGAUGCAACUGGACCUGGAGACAGCGAGGAGGACUACAACAGGAUCAGCAGCAGUGGAAGUGACAGCGACAUCAACAGCCACGACAGGGAAUUAACUGAGAAUGUAAACCCCAAAUUGGGGUUUCGACUAAAGGACCGUGAUUGGGGUAGGUGAGGGUGGAGGGUGCGUUCGCAGGGGCACGGGAGUGGGUGUUUUUAUUGUAACGGGAAGCAUGGUUUUCUUAAUGCGGUUUUAAGAUGUGUGAUGGAAAGUUUAUGAUGGGGGGGUGUAAACUCUAUACAUAGAAAUAUAGUUUAAUUAAAAUAAAAACAAACUCAAAAGUCA